rnacentral:lncRNA from 1 species
UCGAACACAUUAAGACUAUAACAAAGAAAGGUAGCACAUCUGAAAACGGCUCUGAAGUUACGACACACCACCAGUUUCAUCGAUUUGUGUUGUAAUACCUCCAUUGAGAAGACAAAUAUUUCAAACGGCUUCAGCGAAUCAUCUUUUCUGAUUUCAACUUUCAAUGGCAACGGUCAUUCUAUUAAUCAAUCCGAAGAUGGUGUCCAUAUUUCCAAAGAAGAGGUGCUAUAUUGGAAUUAUGGUGAUAUUGGAGUUGAGGAUGAGUUGAUUUUUGUUUAAUGUGGGAGGAAAGAAUUACUCAGAAAUAUUGGCUUCCCGAUUCUAUGUUACGAGAAUUAGAGGAUGCAUUAAUAUAUAAAUGGAUUUGCGAAAAUUGUUGAC